rnacentral:misc_RNA from 1 species
UCCCGGUUUCCCGGGCAGUCCCGCCAGAGUGCUCACCGAAGUGAUAGCAACUGACAGCAAGAGUUGCGCUCGUUAGAGGACUUAACCAAACAUCUCACGACACGAGCUGACGACAACCAUGCAGCACCUGUGCAAUUGUCCAAGUAAACUUGGAAGAUCGUGUUUCCACGACUGUCAAAAACAUGUCAAACCCAGGUAAGGUUCCUCGCGUAGUAUCGAAUUAAACCACAUGUUCCACCGCUUGUGCGGACCCCCGUCAAUUCCUUUGAGUUUUAAUCUUGCGACCGUAGUCCCCAGGCGGAUCACUUAACGCGUUAGCUGCGACACCGACCCCACAAUGUGAAGCCGACAUCUAGUGAUCAUCGUUUACAGCGUGGACUAC